rnacentral:lncRNA from 1 species
GUCUUUAUCAGAGCUCCCUGGCCUACACAGCACCUUUCUGGGAAGUAGAAAAGGCAUGACCCAAGGAACAGCCCCGUGGUGGCAGGGCAUGAGCCUUUGUGGGCCAAAAAAGUCAGCUGGUGAUGGGGCCACAGUCAGUGAGCAGAGCUCGGGAUGGAUCUCAGCCCAGUGUCCCAGUGUACAAACUGCACAACCUUCCACAGAGACCCUGCUCAUCAUGCUGCCUGCCUGUCUCCAGAUUUUGUUCACUCUUGGGAAAAAAAAAAAACAAAAACCGUGAUUGCAUGGAAUCAUCACAUUGAGAGAGACCAGGAGGAAGAAGUAAGCACUCCAUGGAAAACACCUGUCCUACACACAGAAAGGGGAGUGUGGUGGUUAGCAGAGGAGGUCCCAUAUUUUCGUUUGGCACCGGGCUCAGCGAAUUACAUAGCCAGCAAUGACCACAAUCAGUCCUCCAUCCUUCUGCUGGGAACUUGGAUGCUAGAGCUCUUGCAGUCACACUGGGCCAUGAAGAUAAAGGUCACCCCCUAGGAAUGAUAGAGCAGAAAGCUGGAAGGAACCUGGGUCCCUGAUCUCUGUGGAGCCACUGAACUGCCUCUAAUGAAGGAAAACAUUUCUCUCAUUUAUGCUGCAUGUUCUUUUUGAUUUUAUGUUAUGUUUAGUGGAGUAUAAUCCUAAUUUGAUACAAUUGCCAACUUUUAAA